UACAGAGGUCUCAAGCGUUUGUUCGGAUUCAUUGGGCGUAAAGGGUGCGUAGGCGGCGCGGUAAGUCGGGGUGUGAAAUCUCGGAGCUUAACUCCGAAACUGCAUUCGAUACUGCCGUGCUUGAGGACUGGAGAGGAGACUGGAAUUUACGGUGUAGCGGUGAAAUGCGUAGAUAUCGUAAGGAAGACCAGUGGCGAAGGCGGGUCUCUGGACAGUUCCUGGACGCUGAGGCACGAAGGUCAGGGGAGCAAACGGG
rnacentral:rRNA from 1 species